CAUAGAUUGGAAAGUAUCAGUAUACUCAAGAUUGCUCCCUCCAUCCAUUUCUCUGACAAGUAUUUCCGGACAGAGGGAGUACAUAAAUGUGAUAUCCAGUGGCAACUAAGUAUCCCAUUUAGGUUGGUAAGCCCAUAGUGCUGCCUUAAGAACUCCAAUCACCCAUUGGCCAAUUUCUUAGCACAGUUAACUAACUCAAGACUAGAACAUUCCUACUCCAUAACCACCACUUACUACAUUAACGAUUAACCCAAUCAACACCUAAUUGCAAAUGCAACAUCCGCACAGAAUACUGCACACCGAAGAAGCUGAGACGGCAAGAGCAGC
rnacentral:rRNA from 1 species